rfam:Schistosoma mansoni strain Puerto Rico chromosome 3, complete genome
AUCCAGCUGACGAGUCCCAAAUAGGACGAAACGCGCGUCGUGAU